AUUCUUCAGGGCGGGGUGGAAGUCCCCACCGGCGGUAGAGCCCGCGAGCCGAGAGGCCGAUUCGGUGAAAUUCCGAAGCCGACAGUACAGUCUGGAUGGAAGAAGAUG
rnacentral:ncRNA from 2 species